rnacentral:rRNA from 1 species
AUUGAACGCUGGCGGCAGGCUUAGCACAUGCAAGUCGAGCGGAGAGAGGUAGCUUGCUACUGAUCUUAGCGGCGGACGGGCGAGUAAUGCUUAGGAAUCUGCCUAUUAGUGGGGGACAACAUUUCGAAAGGAAUGCUAAUACCGCAUACGUCCUACGGGAGAAAGCAGGGGAUCUUCGGACCUUGCGCUAAUAGAUGAGCCUAAGUCGGAUUAGCUAGUUGGUGGGGUAAAGGCCUACCAAGGCGAUGAUCUGUAGCGGGUCUGAGAGGAUGAUCCGCCACACUGGGACUGAGACACGGCCCAGACUCCUACGGGAGGCAGCAGUGGGGAAUAUUGGACAAUGGGCGCAAGCCUGAUCCAGCCAUGCCGCGUGUGUGAAGAAGGCCUUAUGGUUGUAAAGCACUUUAAGCGAGGAGGAGGCUACUUUAGUUAAUACCUAGAGAUAGUGGACGUUACUCGCAGAAUAAGCACCGGCUAACUCUGUGCCAGCCGCCGCAGUAA